rnacentral:rRNA from 1 species
ACUCCUACGGGAGGCAGCAGUGGGGAAUAUUGCGCAAUGGGCGAAAGCCUGACGCAGCGACGCCGCGUGGACGAAGAAGGCCUUCGGGUUGUAAAGUCCUGUCAGGGGGGACGAAGGUGCUUGCACUGACGGUACCUCCAGAGGAAGCCCCGGCCAACUACGUGCCAGCAGCCGCGGUAAAACGUAGGGGGCGAGCGUUGUCCGGAAUCAUUGGGCGUAAAGAGCACGUAGGCGGCCUGUCAAGUCGGAUGUGAAAACCCACGGCUCAACUGUGGACCUGCAUUCGAAACUGGCAGGCUAGAGUCCAGUAGAGGAAAGUGGAAUUCCCAGUGUAGCGGUGAAAUGCGCAGAUAUUGGGAAGAACACCAGUGGCGAAGGCUGCUUUCUGGGCUGAGACUGACGCUGAGGUGCGAAAGCUAGGGGAGCGAACAGGAUUAGAUACCCUGGUAGUCCUAGCCGUAAACGAUGGGCACUAGGUGUGGGGAGUGUCAACUCUUUCCGUGCCGAAGCUAACGCAUUAAGUGCCCCGCCUGGGG